rnacentral:rRNA from 1 species
UACGCAGGCGGGCUAAUAAGUCAGGGGUGAAAUCCCACAGCUUAACUGUGGAACUGCCUUUGAUACUGUUAGUCUUGAGUUAUAUGGAAGUAGAUAGAAUGUGUAGUGUAGCGGUGAAAUGCAUAGAUAUUACACAGAAUACCGAUUGCGAAGGCAGUCUACUACGUAUAUACUGACGCUAAUGGACGAAAGCGUGGGGAGCGAACAGGAUUAGAUACCCUGGUAGUCC